rnacentral:rRNA from 1 species
CCUACGGGAGGCUGCAGUGGGGAAUAUUGCACAAUGGGGGAAACCCUGAUGCAGCGACGCCGCGUGAGUGAAGAAGUAUUUCGGUACGUAAAGCUCUAUCAGCAGGGAAGAAAAAAAGUCCUUUGGACUUUGGACGGUACCUGACUAAGAAGCCCCGGCUAACUACGUGCCAGCAGCCGCGGUAAUACGUAGGGGGCAAGCGUUAACCGGAUUUACUGGGUGUAAAGGGAGCGUAGACGGCAGCGAAAGUCUGGAGUGAAAUGCCGGGGCCCAACCCCGGAACUGCUUUGGAAACUGUGCAGCUGGAGUGCAGGAGAGGUAAGCGGAAUUCCUAGUGUAGCGGUGAAAUGCGUAGAUAUUAGGAGGAACACCAGUGGCGAAGGCGGCUUACUGGACUGUAACUGACGUUGAGGCUCGAAAGCGUGGGGAGCAAACAGGAUUAGAUACCCGUGUAGUC